rnacentral:rRNA from 1 species
GCAGUCGAGCGGAUGAUGAAGAAGCUUGCUUCUUCUGANUUUAGCGNCNNNNNNNNGAGUAACACGUGGGCAACCUACCUUGUAGAUUGNNNUAACUCCGGGAAACCGGGGCUAAUACCGAAUAAUCCAUUUUGCUUCAUGGCGAAAUGUUAAAAGGCGGCUUCGGCUGUCACUGCAAGAUGGGCCCGCGGCGCAUUAGCUAGUUGGUAAGGUAACGGCUUACCAAGGCGACGAUGCGUAGCCGACCUGAGAGGGUGAUCGGCCACACUGGGACUGAGACACGGCCCAGACUCCUACGGGAGGCAGCAGUAGGGAAUCUUCCACAAUGGACGAAAGUCUGAUGGAGCAACGCCGCGUGAGUGAAGAAGGUUUUCGGAUCGUAAAACUCUGUUGUAAGGGAAGAACACGUACGAGAGUAACUGCUCGUACCUUGACGGUACCUUAUUAGAAAGCCACGGCUAACUACGUGCCAGCAGCCGCGGUAAUACGUAGGUGGCAAGCGUUGUCCGGAAUUAUUGNGCGUAAAGCGCGCGCAGGCGGUCCUUUAAGUCUGAUGUGAAAGCCCACGGCUCAACCGUGGNNGGUCAUUGGAAACUGGGGGACUUGAGUACAGAAGAGGAAAGCGGAAUUCCAAGUGUAGCGGNGAAAUGCGUAGAGAUUUGGNNGAACACCAGUGGCGAAGGCGGCUUUCUGGNCUGUAACUGACGCUGAGNCGCGAAAG